CCCCCACCUUUUGUUGCUCUUGGCGCAUGCGUACAACAAACCACGUGGAGCAGUUGUCACAUCUCACAGCUGCAACUGAAGCAGAAGGUAGUGAGUCUCUAUCCAGGCCGUGAAGAUGCUGUGAGCAAUCCAGAAUCCUUUGGUUGAAUGUGCUGCAAAAAGGUACUGCCUUCCACCUUAAUCAAAGACGGGGAAGACGAACCAAAAAUGUGUGGAAAAGUUUGGAAGAGAAAUUGAUUGUGGAGAUACUGCAAGCAACACUGAAUUUGGAAGAUAUCCCAUCAAGCCUGCUCGCCAUGUUAUAGGUGUGGAGAUGCUGAGCAAAAUGGAAUAAUUAUGUACAGGUGUUGGGAAUUGAAAAAUGCUCAAGAAAUUUGUUGUUAAAAGGAAAUUGUGCUGGGCUGUGAUGCACGAAUGCACUGAAGAUGAAGUACGAGUUAAUAAACAGGAAGAAGAGUGCAAAACUUGACCCACUGGACAUGGCAGAGGGUGGGUGCUGUACCUCAUUCAAAAAGAAAACUCUAGCGUUGAUCUAUAAUUGGACUAGUAGACUAUUGUCAAGAGCUUGAGGGCGACCAGGGACUGGCUCUAUAAUGAUGACGAAGACUGCAUGCAUCACGUUUUUAUAGCUGGUUUAAUUGACUUGUGUACAGAAUGCUAUAAAGACACAUGGCGAAAUUAAAAUCUCUCUGUGGUAUUGUUCUAGCUGGGCAGCGUGUGCGAACUUGUACUGAAAUCUGGAGGAAAGGUGAACUAACAGAAGGAUGAACUUCUACACUGGACAUGCACGGCGCCGAUCCUAUGUCAACGAGCUCGAGGACGGCCAUAGUUGGUGAGAAUGCUUUUGUUUUAAUCAUUAAGAUCUGAGCCGAUGAAGAAAAGAUAUAGGAAUUGCCGUGUGAUGCCUAUGAAGGCGUGUGAACACAGUGAUCAAUCAGAGGCAUUGUCAAUGAGUGAUUAUGAUGUUUUGCUUGUGUUUCUACUGGCUU